CUCAAGUAGAAUAUCACGAUGAAGUUUUAUUCUUGUACUCACAGCAUAGUCUAUGGAAUUAAAAUGCAGAGAACAACCCAGAAGAGCCAAUAUAAUUUUGAAGAAGAAGAAAGUCAGAGGAUUGACACUACCCAUAUGUAAGACUAACUAUAAAGCCACACUAAUCAAGACUGUGGUAUUGGUGAAAGAACAGACAAAUACAUCAGUGGAAUAGAAUAGACAGCCCAGAAAUAGAUCCAUACAAAUAUAGUCAACCGAUCUUUAACAAAGAAUCAAAGGCAAGUCAAUGGACAGUCUUUCCCACAAGUGAUACUGGAACGAUUAGAAAUCUCUAUAUAAAAAAGAAACAAAGAAAGAAAAGAAAGUAUCUGGACAAAAACCUUACACUCUUCACAGAAAUUAACUCAAAAUGGAUCAUAGAGCUAAAUGUAAAAUGCAACACUACAAAAUUCCUAGAAGAUAACAUAUGAAAAAUCUAGAAGACCUUGGGUUUAGGAAUGACUUUUUAGAUACUACACCAAAGGCAUGGUCCAUGAAAGAAAGAAUUGCUAAGUCGGACUUUACUAAAAUUAAAAACUUCUGCUUGGCAAAAGACAAUGUCAAGAGAAUGAGAAGACAAGCCACAUAUUGAGAGAAAAUAUUUGCAAAAGAUAGUCCGAAAAAGAACUGUUAUCUAAAACAUACAAAGAACUUUUAAAACACAACAAUAAGAAAACAAACAACCCAACUAAAAAAUAGGCAAAAGAUCUGAAGAGAUACCUCACUGAAGAAGAUGUACAGAGAGCAAAUAAGCAUAUGAAGAGAUGUUCAACAUCAUAUGUUCAGCAAUCAUCCUCCUUGAUGUUUACCCAAAAGAACUGAAAAUUUAUGUCCACACAAAACCUGCACACAAAUGUUUCUAGCAGCUUUAUUCAUAAUUGCUAAAACUUGGAAGCAUCCAACAUGUCCUUCGAUAGGUAAAUGGAAUAUUAUUCAUUGAUAAAAAUGAGUUAUCAAUCCACGAAGAUAUGAAAGAACUUUAAAUGCACAUUACUAUUUGAAAGAAGCCAAUCCGAAGAGGCUUUAUAUUAUAUGGAGGCAAAGGAAUACUUUCCAAGCAAGGGAACAGGACAAAACUCUAGAAAAAGAACAAAGGGAAACAGAAACUAGUGACCUACUCAACAAAGAAUUCAAACAAAGUAUCAUGAGGAUGCUCACAGAUAUGCGGAGAAGAAUGGAUGAACACAGUGAGCACAUCAGCAAAGAACUGGAAGAUAUAAAAAAAAAAACCAAUCA
rnacentral:lncRNA from 1 species